rnacentral:lncRNA from 10 species
GAAACUUUUUUCAACCUCCAGUGAGCCUAAGAAAGCCCCAGCAUUUCAGGCCAAGCCGCUGGCUGCCUGGCUUCUGUUUUUACUCCUUUCCUUCUGUCCCUUUCUGGGACGAGCCACACCUUCUCUGCUUUCUCUGGGCCCGUCCAGGACGCUGGGCCCGGGGCCUGGCGCGGUGAGCUGCAGAUAGCCGGGGGCGCAGGGCAGCCCGGAGGCUGGAGGGCGACCUGGAAGGCUGGACCGGUUCGGGGCAUCUGGUGCUCAAGGAAAGUCAGCUCCCGCCGCCCCUCGGGGCCAGCUUGGCUUGAAGGAGUACUUUAGGACUCAGAACAACAGGAUGAAGACAGCAGCUAAAAUAGAACACACCAGCAGAGACGUUCAGCUCCUUGAGCUGUGCUUCCGAAGCUCAAGCAUGGCAGAGUGGCCUUGUUAAAUCAGAGUUCAGGGUGCCACCCUGACAGUUUCUGAUUCCGUAGGUGCCCAGUAGGGACCAAGAAUCCUUUUUUUUUUUCCUUUUUCUUUUUAAUAGAGUCAGGGUCUUGCUAUGUUGCCCACAUGGGUCUCAAAUUCAAGCGAUCCUCCCACCUCGACCUCCCAAAGCACUGGAAUUCCAGGCAUAAGCCACCGUGCCUGGCCAAGAACGUUUUUUUUUUUAACAAGUUUCUAAAUGAUGCUGGUCUAUUGGUCCUGGGACCACACUUUGAAAUUGGUGGGAUAGGAGGCUGGGAUCUUUAUCCAUUCACUCAACUCCCAUUCCCCAUGGUUGAAAGUUUCCCUGGGGCAUCCCUGGGAGGCCUGGGGGCUGACAAGAUUCAAACGUUUUGGUGAAAAGCCCCAAGACAGUGAAGUGGGGUGUGCUUGAAGUGGGGCACCGUCAUCACCCACCUACCCACCACAGAGGUGAGCUAAAAGGUUACCAGACCGGAGCCUCCAGCAAUCCAGGAGCACAAACAAGGAUGCCUUAAAACAAAACUUGUGUCAGGGUACCCUUCGCUGCCUCAGAGGAAAUCAGAAUGACCUGGUGGACAACUGUUCAUAAGGACAAGAGCCAGUAUCACUGCCUUUGAGUCCCAGCCUCCUCAAAUCCAUUUUCUGCCCUGCACCACCUCAUCAUAUCCCGGAUAUUGUUAGUGUCGUGUCAUUUCAUGACUCAGGAGCUGCGGGUGACUUUGGCUGCCCUGACAUUUGUUAAAUUGGCUCCUGGGUCCUGGUUUGCAAAUGUUGCCACUUUGAGAUCCGUAGAUGGUCAUCCCUGGCUCCCUUGGGGAGUGUCCUGGAAUCCACCAGCUCCAUCUGCUCGACAAGAGACUUGAGUUUGUUCUGUUACCUCUUUCAUCAUUAGCCAAAGCUCCGGGACUUGGUUAAAACUUUAGGCAAUUAAAAAGACUGACUUAUGGAGAUAGUAGUGUUUUCACUAUAUCGUCCCUGCUUGAAUUUAUGUUCUUGAAUUCCAUUAACCUGAAAUAUAUCAAAAUACCAAGAUGUUAUGAAGAAUGGGAACAAAUAUAGAAAAGUGAAAA